UUUGAAAGCUUCCAGAGAUUCAACAUUUUUCCAAAUAGGUGAGCUCUUAACGAAAGGCGUGGUUUGAAUCUUCACUGGCUCACUGCCCACCAUGACAAUCGUUGCAGUAGAUUGUGUGGAUUUGUUAACUUGUCUUUCUCCAUUACCUGCACAAUGAUUAUACUCAAGCAUACUGGUCUAUAAAAUCAAGAGUGCAUAAAAUUGUGCUUCAGUUACCCACAGUCGUCAGAGCAUAUACCUUCAUGACAUAUUGAUAGAGAUUGAUCAUCAUUACUGGAUGCUCUUACCAUAGCCACAUUGACUUCUGCUUUGUUAUCCACUGAGGAAACUGAGGCAAAUUCAAGUAACACAAAUCAAAGGAAGGGUCAGAAUAAUGACAAAUAUUGGCGAAAAGAUAGAAUAAAAAUUAAGCUUGUAAUAGGUCUGGUUAUUUCAUAGAAAAGUUUGUUUCAAUUGUACAUUCAUGAAGUGUAGAAGGACCUCCAUCUUAUCAAACAAACUAAUCCCUGUUCUCCCAGUUAGAAAUGACAAAGAUUUCCACUUUUUCCCAUUAGUGGAUUUCUGUCUCCAAGAAUUGUCAAAGUCUGAAACUGAAACUGAAACGGCAGAGGUUCUGGCAUUCUAAAAACCUCCUUUGCUAGUAAGAAAUGCAACUCUAGCUCAAAUGAUAAAGCUUGGUUGAAGAUGCUAAAGUUUCUUCCUUUCCUUCUCCAAAUUUCCCAUGCUUGUUCGUUCAAGAUCACAAUAGAAUUUGAUGUCAAAACCUUCUUCCUUUCUCUUCUUGCUAUUUCCCAUUUAUCUUCCAUAAGAAUUCCAGGGUAACCACAUCUGAACUCCCAAAAUACUGCCACUCAUUUCCAACACCUACACUUUUUGUAAAACCUUUAUCUUUCUUUUUUCCAAGAACAUGUCCAAUAAUUUCAGUACCAAAAAAUUCAUUUUCGAGAAUGAAUUGUGCAAACACUUCAGAUUCAACUAAUAUUGUCCUCAUUUCAGACUCUAGUUGCCCAUCAUCACCAUCUUCGUUGUUCUUCUCCUCAUAGAUCUCACUUACAUUAGACUUGUCAACAAAAAGCUCCUGCUCCAUCUCAAUGGCUUUGUCUUUCUUAUUAGAAGUUUCACACAGAGACUCUUGUACUUCGCUAGACUUUUCAAAAUUUUGAUCUUCAUUAAUCAAGACUGCAAUCUUUUCCUUUCUCACUUGAAUUGAUUGUUCAAAUCUUUUCAUUUUCUGAUCUAAACUUUCUACUUUCUGAAUCACUUUUUCAAAUCUUUGUUCCAACUGCUCCUUUUGUUAUUUUAAUCUUCUAUCUAGCAUUUCUUGAACUCUGAAGAAAAUUUUGUGUCAAAUUCCAUAAUUCAAGAAUUUCAAGGAAACAAAAAACAAGAAAUCAAGAAAGAGUGAUCUGAUAUUUGGGAACUCAAGGGAGGAAAUUUUCGGAAAAAUCAAGAAAGAAGGAAGAAGACGAAUGUCAAGAAAGGGAGACAAGAAAGAAAUCUAAAUAGAGGGAAGGGAGAUGGAAGAAAGGAGAAGAAAGGAAAAGGGUAGAUUAGCAAAGUAAGAACAGAAUAAGAAGAAGAGAGGAAAAGAAAGAAGAAAUCUCAGAAAAGGAGGAGGAAGAGAAAGGAACAGAAGUAACCUGGUAUUUGGGAAGACUUCAACUGAUCUGCCAUACAUGCAACUCCAGUGAAACAAUUUCCAGUAGUUGCCCGCUGAUCUAACAGCUCUUAUUCCACUUGUCACAUAAUCAGAAUCUCCAUUACAGAAUAAUAGAAAUUAGCCAAGAAAUAUAGAAAUGAAAGGGAGGAAUAGAAGAAGAGAGAAUUAAGAGAGAAGAAUUUAGAGAGACGAGAAAGUAGAUCCUUAUUGAUUAGAAUUUCAGAAUGACAAUCCUGGAGCUAUUCCAUUCCUUUUAUAGGUCAGUUUCUUCUAAAGACAGCAGUUCCCGCCAAUUCCUUCUUACCUAACAAAUCUGUAACAACCCUGGACAUCUAACCAGAAUAUAAUUCCCUCCUUAACUACUACUAGACUCUUAUAUGUAAGAGAGAUGACCAACAAACCAGUCAUCUAUGUAGUCCUCAUACCAUAGGCAUAGAUACAAACCAAAAUGGGGAACGGUUAGAUGUACACCAACCUAAUAGCUUACGGGUGUACCUCAAUAUUUAGUUCAGGUGCUUCUACUCAUUUAUUUAUUUUGUACUGCAUGUCUGAAGUUACUAAAUGGAGAAGGAUUUCAAGUUGUUAAUCCCUUGUACCUUCAGGCUCCGAACCUAUUAGUAUAGACAAUUCAACCUCUUUAUCUGCACAAUGUUUAAAAUUCAUUUCGCUAGCAUCUCCAGGUGCAUCGUGCUGGUCACCUACAUGAAACACAUUGAAUUAGUUUUGCCAUAUACAAUUAUUCAGCCAUUAUUUAGGUAAAUAUCUGCACCUGCUUUCCGCUGCCCAAUUGCAUCACUUUCUUUCCGUAGAUUAACCUCCUGUACAGUUAAAGCACAGACAGCAAUUAACAUGUAUGGAUAUGAAAAAUUGGCCAAUUGUAACCUUAUUAUCUCCACAUUAUUCUAAAAUUCAACAUAUUUCAUGGGGGGAAAUGGAACAAGUAGCAUAUUAUUCUCAAUUUCAUAUGCUUGACUUGUCGUGCCUGAAGCAGCUACUUUCCCAAGUGAUGUGAGACUUCUUUCUUUGGAAUGUUCUUUACAUUAUUGGAUCAUGCAAUACCUCAUCAGGAAGCUGGUAAGAAUUUUCUGGAGGUAAGCCCCUUCUCCCCUCAGUUAAGGCACCAGAAGAUUCAGCAUCUUUUUCUACAUGCUCAACUUCAGUAGUAACUUCAUAAGAAUCUCCUCUUGUCUUGUCCUCUCCACCUGCUGCUCGAAUCCACUGACUUCUAACUUGGGCAUUCGGUAGUAAUUUCCAUUUUAGCAAGCCAGCUUCUUGUUGAUUAGGCUCCUAUUGUCAGAAAAUAAUCCAAACAAAGUUCUCAAUAAAAUAAUCCAAAGAAAGCCCAUGAAUCUAUACGUAAAUUUGCCAGAUGCUUCACAAAGUUCACAUUAUUAACAAUAAAAUUCAUGGUAUGAUGUGAUGAAAACAGGAUAUUAUCACUAUGCCAGUCUUUGCACUUGUUUCUCUCCAUAGUAUAAAUUAUUUAACAAAUGUCAAAAGCAAAAGGUUGGCUUACAAUGUUAUUUCCCCUGAAUGGACUCUCAGAUCCAGCAUUGUCAACCAAUUGUUGGGUUGAGCAUUUAGUUGGUGCACUGUCUGUGACCUGUACUUCUUGAUUUGUUGUCUUGAUUGGUAUCAACUUUGCAGGAUGUACUACUGGAGACAGAGGGUUUCCCGACUUUUCCAUUUUGAACUUCUUGGAAGCACAUGAUAGUUUGUACUCAAUCUCAGGUGCCCUCUUCUUCACUGCCAUACUUGCUGAUUUUACUUUACAGGGGGUUGAAAGCUCCAAUGAGUUCCUACUUGAAUUUUUGCAUGAGGAUUUCUCUUCUGAGUGAUCCUUUUCUGCAGUUGAACUCUCAAUAUGAAAAGUUGCCCCAGGACUUUCAGCAUUGUUGUCAGCAUGUGUUGGAUGUUCUUUGUUUUGUAUAUCAAUUGAUGUAUCCUGAAACAAAGCCCAUUAUCUGAAGCUAACAUACACUAAAGUGGUUCUGCAGAUAUAUUCUUCUAGAGCAACACAGCUGUACUAGGUUUACACAUAAUAGUACCACCAAACUACCAGUCAUAUAUACUAGGGAUGAUAAGUGGGGGAUAUAGGGAGAAGUGUCAUAUUCACAUCCAAUAAUACUAAUUCUAGUUUAAACUUAGGCAACAAAAUAAUAUUGUGGUUUUCAUGAGGAUGAUCUAAUUAUCCUUUUCCUCUCUACUCCUUUGAAAGUACAAAGCAACAUAGAACAUUGUUCCAGUCACUUAGGUGAAUCUUUCUGUCAAGUUCAAAUUAGCGUGUGCGUCUAUGUAGUAGGCAUGCAUAUCUGUCCCAAAAGACAGUGCAAGAGAGUUAUCAAUUAACAAUAUUUCAAGAACAAAAAAUGCAGCAGAUAGAAGACGGAAUACCCUGCAAUAACUAAUCCAUGUGCCAUUCUUCAGGUACUGGCGUGGCCUUAUUUCUGAUUGGCUGAAUUGCCUCUCCUCAUCAGCAUGUUUUAGAAAGAUGUUAUACCUUCCAUCUGUAAGAAUCUUGGUAAUGAAGCCAUCCCUCCAACUUGAAUUACAGAAAGC
rnacentral:lncRNA from 1 species